UUUAAUUACUUGAACGGCGAACGAUCUUAAUUAAUUCGAUCUAUUGUUGUUUGUGUAGGAAUAAUUCCUCCUUUUCGACUUUAUUGAAUAGCAUGUCGUGGCCUCAAUUGAUGGUGAAUUGAAUGAGAAAGAUAUGGAAAUGUUUUGAAUACAGUUAUCCAAUUGGUAUUCCCGCGGUCUUACACUGCCUAUGCAGUGACUUUCUUAUCUAAGUCCUGGAGUAAUUGAUAUGAUGAUUUACUGAUAAGGAGAAAACGAGGAAUAAAGAUAAUGUGACUAAGUGGACUGAGGCGUAACGUUGAUGAUAAUGAUAAUGAAUGUAAUUGUGGAUUACGUAAGUUAUUUUGGGUGGAGAAAUGACUAUGAUGGAAUUCCAAGCAGUAGGUAUCGUACUAUGGAUCUGAUAAGAUUAUGAGGGAAUUUUUCCAUGCCCUAAGCGCGAUUCCGGGCUUUUAAAUGGUAAAAAUUAGAUCAUCUCGUUGCGAAAUCCUUUUUAUCAAACUUAUUACACAAAUAGAUUCUUAAUAGGAAUGUGGUUUGAUUUUUCUUUUGUUACUUCUCAUUCAAUGAAGUUCACAAGCUCUCAAUAAAUCGUUAUCGUUUGAGGUAAACUAUGGCUUGUGGUUUAUCAAUAAAUCAAAUGAAAGGAAAAUUUUUCGAGAAAUUGCUUAACUGAAACGUGUUUUUAACAAAAUGAUAUGAGAAGGAAGUUAAAUGUGUUGCAUGCGCUUUUAUCACCAGCCUAGAAUAAAGAGUCUACACUGCCUUUGAAAUAGAAGACGUACUCAAAUGGA